CCUACGGGAGUCAGCAGUGGGGGAUCUUGCACAAUGGGGGGAACCCUGAUGCAGCGACGCCGCGUGGGUGCAGAAGCGCCUCGGCGCGUAAAGCCCUGUCAGCAGGGGAGAAAAUGACGGUACCUGAAGACGAAGCCCCGGCUAACUACGUGCCAGCCGCCGCGGUCAUACGUAGGGGGCAAGCGUUAUCCGGAUUUACUGGGUGUACAGGGGGCGCAGACGGCGAUGCAAGCCAGGAGUGAAAGCCCGGGGCCCAACCCCGGGACUGCUGUUGGAACUGCGUGGCUGGAGUGCGGGAGGGGCAGGCGGAAUGCGUGGUGUAGCGGUGAAAUGCGUAGAUAUCAGGAGGAACACCGGUGGCGAAGGCGGCCUGCUGGACUGCAACUGACGUUGAGGCCCGAAAGCGUGGGGAGCAAACAGGAUUAGAUACCCCAGUAGUC
rnacentral:rRNA from 1 species